AGAGUUUGAUCAUGGCUCAGGACUAACGCUGGCGGCGUGUCUUAGCCAUGCAAGUCGAACGAACCAAGGCUUAGUAGCAAUACUUUUUUUUGGUUAGUGGCGAAUGGGUGAGUAACACGUGAAUAAUCUACCCCAAAGUGGCGGAUAACAGAUCGAAAGAUCUGCUAAUACACCAUAUGCUCACGAUCCAUAAGGGUCGCGAGGAAAGGUGGCCUCUGCUUGCAAGCUAUCGCUUUGGGAUGAGUUCGCGUCCUAUCAGCUAGUUGGUGAGGUAAAGGCUCACCAAGGCGAUGACGGGUAGCCGGCCUGAGAGGGUGAACGGCCACACUGGAACUGAGACACGGUCCAGACUCCUACGGGAGGCAGCAGGCUAGAAAAUUGGGCAAUGGGCGCAAGCCUGACCCAGCGACGCCGCGUGAGGGAUGAAGGUCUUCGGAUUGUAAACCUCUGUUAGGAAGGAAAAUGGGGAUAGGUCCCAAUACGGCCUAUUGGGANG
rnacentral:rRNA from 1 species